AAGCCUCGGCUUGGGCCUGCAGCGGCGCUCCGGAGCCGGGGGCCGGAGACGGGGCCUCCCUGCGGCGUAACUGGGGUUUCAGGCCUGUUGGGAUUUUUGUCCCUAGAAGCCGUCUCAGUUUGUCCCUCCACGUAACCCGUUGUCAUUUUGUCUUUAUAGAGUCAAAGAGGCCCAGCCUAGAAAGUGUUCAAGGCACCUGAAGAUAGCAGUAGGAGCAGGUGAAAGCCCCUCGUGUGUGAAAGGACCGAGGCAUUGUGCAUCGAUGGCUGCUCACAAGAGCGAAGAGCAGGCGGUGUGUGUCCUGAUGAAAGAACAUGUCACCUGUGGCUCGGGCUCCACCUCCGGCAGCUCAAGCUUCCAGAUCAGCAUCCAGUGUUGAGAGACCGUACAGCAGCGGCAGAUGGCACACCUGUGGCUGUGUGAAGAUUCCAUGACUAAUAAACGAAAACCCAAAACAACUUCCCAGUGAAAGCCCAGGCCGCGGGAGUCAAAGCAGGGCCGUAUCUUGGUCAGGAGCGAGCAGGGAUUGAACUGGCACUGCAGAGGCCUCGCAACCCAGCACUCAACCACUGCGCCACCAGGGGAGGCCCUUCUGUACAAAUUCUUUUGAAACAUUUCAUUGUCAACACAGGGCGAUGAACAGGACGAUGACGGAGCCGGAGAGAGAGGCCAGAGCUAGAGCACGGGCAGAGGCUAUCCUCACACCUGAGAGCAGGUUAACUCCAGCAGAGAAGGUGGUCCCAGGGCCGUCUGGGAGCAGCAGGACUCUCCAGGGGUCACAAAGUCCACGGAUUCAACCCUGAGAGCCGAGGACACUCCCUGGUUGGCCUGACUCUGUUGACCGGACGCUCUUCCCAGGUGCUUUCGUCUCUCUGAUUUCACGGUUUGUAACUUUUCAAAUAUCUCCACCCGUUUAAUUCUAGCUGUUCUCUAGGGUUAAACAUUCAGAAGUUUUUAUCCUAAAACAAAAAGACACCCUAAUGAAUGGGAGAAAAUAUUUGUGCAUCACACAACUGACACGGGGCUGAUAGCCAAGGUCUACAAAGAACUCAACGAAAAGAAAGCAAAUAACCCAAUCGAAAGGCAGGCAGAAGAGCUCAACAGGCAUUUCUCCAAAGACACGCAGACAACCGACACAUGCACGAGGAAAAUGCUCAUCGUCACUUAUCAUCAGGGCAACGCAAAUCAAAACCACCUGAGAUCGCACCUCACACCUGUGAGAAGGGCCCAUGGAGUGUAGACGGGUCCAGCCCCAGUGGAAAACAAGAUGGAAAGUUCCUCAAAUAUUAAAAAAGGAUCUGCCAUACGAUCCAGCAGUUCCACCCCUAGGAGUCUACCUGAAGGCUACAGGAACACUGAUUCCAAGGCCUAUCUGCACCCUGUUCGGGCAGCACUGUUGACAACAGCUUCGCCAUGGAGAUGACCUCUGCCCACGGACAGAUGAGUAGAUGGGGAGACAGGGUCCGUAUACACAGUGGAAUACCACUCAGCUGUAAAGGAUAGCUGGGUGGCAGCGUGGAUGGAGCUGAAGGGGAUGGCGCUAAGUGAAGUAAGUCAGAAGGAGAAAGACAAACACCAGGUGGCGUCACGUGCAGAACACAGAGAAACAAGACAACGGACCAGAUCCAGCCAGGCCAACAACAAACCCUGGCAUCUGACCGCAGGACGGAAGUGCCAGAGGGGAGGGGAGGAGAGAGAACAGGUUCCUGGUAGAUAUUGGCCAUCAGGCCCUUGUCAGGUGGAUCGUGGGGGACUCUGGGGGACAGAUAACAUGUGGAACAACACCUGAAGGGAGAGUCUAUACCUCUAAACCACACACAAUGUUACGAACCAGUAUUACCUCAAUAAAAAAAAAAAAAUCCAGAAGUUUUCUUUAGAAAGGGGAGGCUAUACAUUUUAAAGUACUCCUGCCC